GACAGAGGUGCCGAGCGUUAGGCGGAAUCACUGGGCUUAAAGCGUGUGUAGGCGGGCGGGCAAGUACCUUGUGAAAUCCCACGGCUCAACCGUGGAACGGCUGGGUAUACUGCCUGUCUUGAGCCAACUAGGGGCGAGCGGAACAGACGGUGGAGCGGUGAAAUGCGUAGAUAUCGUCUGGAACGCCGACGGUGAAAACAGCUCGCUGGGUGUGUUCUGACGCUGAGGCACGAAAGCCAGGGGAGCGAACGGG
rnacentral:rRNA from 1 species